rnacentral:rRNA from 1 species
GGUAUUUUGACCGUGCAAAGGUAGCAUAAUCAUUAGUUUUUUAAUUGAAAGCUGGAAUGAAAGGUUGGAUGAGAAAAAAGCUGUCUCUAUUUAAUUUAUUUAGAAUUUUAUUUUUAAGUUAAAAAGCUUAAAUUUAAAUAGAAGACGAGAAGACCCUAUAGAGUUUUAUUAAUUUUUUUUAUAAAAUUAAUAGUAUUUUUUGUUUUUAUAGAAAAUAUUAAUUUAGUUGGGGUGAUUGAAAAAUUUAAUAAACUUUUUUUUUAUGUUUACAUUAAUAUAUGAUUAUUUGAUCCUUAAUUUAAGAUUAAAAGAUAAAAUUACCUUAGGGAUAACAGCGUAAUUUUUCUUGAGAGUUCUAAUCGAAAGAAAAGAUUGCGACCUCGAUGUUGGAUUAAAAUAAAAUUUUGGUGUAGAAGCUAGGA